AUCGAACGCUGGCGGCAGGCCUAACACAUGCAAGUCGAGCGAGCGGCGGACGGGUGAGUAAUGUCUGGGAAACUGCCUGAUGGAGGGGGAUAACUACUGGAAACGGUAGCUAAUACCGCAUACCAUCAGAUGUGCCCAGAUGGGAUUAGCUAGUAGGUGGGGUAACGGCUCACCUAGGCGACGAUGCCUAGCUGGUCUGAGAGGGUGACCAGCCACACUGGAACGGAGACACGGUCCAGACUCCUACGGGAGGCAGCAGUGGGGAAUAUUGCGCAAUGGGCGAAAGCCUGAUGCAGCCAUGCCGCGUGUGUGAAGAAGGCCUUCGGGUUGUAAAGCACUGUCGGUGGAGAGGCGUUACCCACAGAGAAAGCACCGGCUAACUCCGUGCCAGCAGCCGCGGUAAUAC
rnacentral:rRNA from 1 species